GUCAUGCUCAUAGGAGAAAUAUGGCGAAUCUGGAUAAUGGAGAGAGAUUAGUAUUUGCGGAGGCAGUUGUAUGUGCACCUAGGUAGUUUGAGGCAGAGAGGAAAGAUUGGCUGAAGCUGUCUCUGGUGGAAAGACUGAACUGGAAUCUGACUACCUGCCAUCUCCUCUCUAACUCUUGAGUCUUAGAAGUCAUCAAAACCCUCCACUCUCGGGGUAGGGACAGCCUGAAGUGCAGGGACCUUAGUUAUAUACUUUAUAGUCAGACCACUCAAGAUGGCUGUUCCGUUGUACUCUGAGCCCCUGCUUUACCUAUAUACCCUACUCACAUGAAUGUGCUGGCCCCAUGCCUCUUAGGCCAGAAUGGCUCCACCUGCUAGUUUAUUAAAGGAAAACCUCUCCUGAUGCUCUUUAACCCAAGGAGCAAGGAGGGAAGUGCCUCAGUUGCUGGUUUCCCUGGUCGCUGAUGAGCCAAUCGCUGACGUCACUGCCCCUAGAAAGGGUAGGCCCCUCCCCCGCACCAGCUGUGGCAAAGAUGGCGGCUGUGUUCUGCUUACUCUCCGCCACACAUGGUCAUCUGUCACUCCAGGACCUUGCUUCAGAUGGGUAGCAAAGACUGCUCCCAUGUCUUGCCCACAGUCUGCUGCAUGUGGAUUCUCCAGGACCUGCUUGAGGCUGUCAGAGGGGCCCAUUUCAUCAAUACUGAGUGUCAACGACACAGAAGAUACACAUACUCACAUACAAAAGCUUCUGGCAGCAAAACCUAUUUGUUUUGUCAUGGCAACCCUAGUCAUUUCCAGCUGGAGAGUGAGUGAUGAUGUCAUUCUCAAGAGAGGUGGGGCUGAGAACCCAGCCUGAGUUGCAAGGCUGCAGAGAAUUAUAUUUCAGAGUCAAAUGGUCAUGAUACGAAGACAAGCCUUCUGUAUGAGGCACUUAGGUUUUAUAUAAAUAUAGACAUACUGUCCCUGGCAAGGACAGUAUUGGGCUGGAAAAUGUGACUUGAUGAGCAAUAUCUGCAUAUGAUUUUAAGAGGAUAUAUGAAGCUCUGAAGAAUCUAUACUGGUGUUUGGUGAAACUGUAAAUGACUCCCCUGAUCUAGUGGUCCCUUGAAGCCUUGGGGACAAAGUGAGACCUGGUCUGGUCAGAGACCCGCUGGCUAGAUAUGGGGACUGACGGUGCACGGGAGACAGACUACGUGUGGGAGGUUCUGACACCCAGACCUAGAAGGAAGGCUCCAACCAUAAGACCUGUGCCCACAGACCCAUGGAAGAGGAAAAAUGGGAGCUGUCAGUAUCUAUCCCAGGACAGCCGGCUAAAUGGGGCCCAUUCCUCAGACCAGGAUGCAUGGUCACUGCACGUAAGUCAUGGACAUGAUCCGGUUCCCUCACAGAGAGCAGCUCUGAUGUUUUAGCUCUGGAAGUGUGCCAUGCAGCAAAGGAUGGCCAAGAGGGGGAUACCAGUCACCUACAUACAGGUCAAGAGAAAAUACCAGGUGAGGGUCCAGAUGUCAUCUCAAAUUAGCCCUGGCGAAGGCAUCUCACACAUGACAUCAGCAAGUCUGAGUCUAAGAGUCACCUGGGGCACCCUCACCACAACACCAAAUGAAUCACAGUCUCCAGAAAAGAAAUCUGGAAAUGUGCGUUAUAAAAUCUUAGUGCCAAAAGAGGUUUCACAGGCAUUUAUUGCUGUUUUAACUUUUUAUAAACUAGAAUAGCAGAUCUGUUGUAGCGUGAACCUUGCACAAGGCAGGCCUGAAUUCACAGCCUGCCU